rnacentral:lncRNA from 1 species
UCUGUUCAUUAUCUCAUUUAACAAGCCAACGAGAAAGUUCCAUUAUUAUUCAAAUUCUACAGACAAGGAAACUGAGGCUUAGAAAGAAGUCCCUUUGUCAGUUAAGUAUCAGAUCUAGAAUUCAAACUUGGGUCUGUCUGACUAGCCACAGCUUGUAACCCCCACACCUACUGCCUCAGUAGCUGUAAGAACACUGAAGUAUUAAACUGCAUCAAACACAUUAGAAACUUUCUCGGCCGGGCGCGGUGGCUCACGCCUGUAAUCCCAGCACUUUGGGAGGCCGAGGUGGGCGGAUCACAAAGUCAGGAGAUCGAGACUGUCCUGGCAAACAUGGUGAAACCCCGUCUCUACUAAAAAUACAAAAAAUUAGCCGGGCAUAGUGGUGGGUGCCUGUAAUCCCAGCUACUCUGGAGGCUGAGGCAGGAGAAUGGCGGGAACCCGGGAGGCGGAGCUUGUAGUGAGCCGCGAUGGCGCCACUGCACUCCAGCCUGGGCGACAGAGCGAGACUCCGUCUAAAAAAAAAAAAAAAAAAAAACAACUUUCUAACACGUUUCAACCAAUUUCCUGGCUGGUCCCAGUGCAGUGGUGUUUACAGCUAGUUGAUCACAAUCAGAGAUUUUUAUGUUCCUUCUCCAAUCCCACUGCUUCACUUGACUAGCCUUUAAAAAUAAAUAAAUAGGCUGGGCGUGGUGGCUCACGCCGGUAAUCCCAGCACUUUGGGAGGCCGAGGCGGACAGAUCACCUAAGGUCAGGAGUUUGAGACCAGCGUGGCCAACAUGGCAAAACCCCACCUCUACUAAAAGUACAAAAAUUAGCCGGGCAUUGUGGCAUGUGCCUGUAAUCCCAGCUACUCAGGAGGCUGUGGCAGGAAAAGCUUGAACCCAGGAGGCCAAGGUUGCAGUGAGCCGAGAUCGCACCACUGCACUCCAGCCUGGGCAACAAGAGCAAGACUCCGUCUCAACAAUACGAUACCAUACGAUAUGAUACAAUACAACUCUAAAACACACUAAAGUGGCCGGGCGCAGUGGCUCACGCCUAUAAUCCCAGCACUUUGGGAGGCCGAGGCAGGCGGAUCAAGAGGUCAGGAGAUCGAGACCAUCCUAGCUAACAUGGUGAAAUCUCAUCUCUACUAAAAAUACAAAAAAUUAGCCAGGCGUGGUGGCGGGCACCUGUAGUCUUAGCUACUUGGGAGGCUGAGGCAGGAGAAUAGUGUGAACCCGGGAGGAGGAGCUUGCGGUGAGCUGAGAUAGCGCCACCGCACUCCAGCCUGGGCAACAGAGCGAGACUCCAUCUCAAAUAAAUAAAUAAAUAUAAAUAAAUAAAAAAUAAAAGACACUAAAGAAGCACAUUUAAUGCAUGCUCUUUGACAGCAAAGCUGGGUUUUCAGUACAUGUCUUUUCAUGUUGGAGACAAACUAUUUCUGCAGGAUUACUGGCCAGCCAGUUUACCAAAGUAUGAGGUCUCUGGUCCCCUACAACCAAAUCCUGAGCAAGGUCCCUCUUAGUGGGACACAUCGUAAACAGCAUUCAAACGGAAAGGGAAACCUUGGCUAGGGGCAGUGGCUUAUUAUGCCACUUUGGGAGGCCAAGGCAGGCGGAUCACCUGAGGUCAGGAGUUCAAGACCAGCCUGACCAACAUGGUGAAACCCCAUUUCUACUAAAAAUACAAAACUAGCCAGGCAUGGUGGAGGGUGCCUGUAAUCCCAGCUACUUGGGAGGCUGAGGCAGGAGAAUUGCCUGAACCUGGGAGGCGGAGGUUGCAAUAAGCUGAGAUUGCACCACUGCACUCCAGCCUGGACAACAAGAGCGAAACUCCAUCUAAAAAAAAAAAAAAAAGAGCUGUGAGAAUCUUAGAAGCCCCAUGAAAGGACAAACCCCUGCAUUACUAGUAGUUUCUAUGGACACAAGAAGAAAGGACAGGAUUGCAAUGAAAACUAACCAAGCAGCCCGCAAUUCAAGAGGAGGCUGCAGAAGGCCAGGUGGAAUAACAGCUGAUAAUAUAUCACACACUUGCACAAAGCUUCUGUCAUCCAAAGAUAGAACAGGGGUUUUACAAACAGCCAUCAAUUACUCCAACUUUUUGUGGUGAAAAUCAAGGCAGGGAUCUGGAAAUCAUGUUUAAAUAAAGCUGCCUUCCUUACGGAGCUCAUUCCUGCUGUUAGAGGAGGCUUUAUAAGCGUAUUCUUGAUAGUCUUUGCAGUUCAAAAGUAUCUCCACGUGCAUGAUUUCAUCUGAGUGAGCAAGCGUCCUGUCUUCCUCUAGUGCUGGUAUCCAAUACCCUCUCUCUCUACAUGCCCCAACAAAUAACCAAGUGAGGUGGGCUGCCUUGGAA